CUGCUUAUCAGAGCAGCCUCCCAACGCCUGCUUGCGUGCAAGCAGGAGCGGGGCAGGGAUCUCUCUGUUAGGCAACGGGGAGCCUCCCUUCCCAGCUGAGGGAUCCCUGCUCCCUCCUGCUUGCACGCAAGUAGGAAUGGGAUUGGGGCUGCUCUGAUGGGAAG
rnacentral:miRNA from 1 species